rnacentral:ncRNA from 1 species
AUAUAUAAAUUUUAUAAUUUAAAAAAUUUAUUUUAAAUUUAUUUUACAUAUAAAUUUUAGUGUUAAUUAUUCUUUAUUUAAAUAAUUAAGAAAUGUUUUAUAUAGUAAUUAAUAUUAAAAAUUUAAGAAAUUAAGAUUUAGUAAUAUGGGAAUUAAUAACAAAUUUUGUGCCAGCAGUUGCGGUUAUACAAAAGUUAAAUUAAAUUUUAUUGGUAAUUAAUUAAUGAAUUUAGAUUAUAAGUAAAAUUUUAAAUUAUUAGGUGAAAUUUUAAUUUAAUUAAAACUUAUUAAAAUUUAUGAUUUAAUAAUUUUUAUAAUAAACUAGGAUUAGAUACCCUAUUAUUGAUUUUUAAAUUAAAAAUACUAAAAUAGUAAAUGAUUUAAAAAUUGAAACUUAAAUAAUUUGGCGGUAUUUUAGUUUAUUUAGAGGAAUCUGUUUAAUAAUUGAUAGUCCACGAAUAAAUUUACUUAAUUUUUAAUUUUGUAUAUCGUUGUUAUAAAAAUAUUUUUUAAUAAAAAUAAUAUUUUAAAAUUUUUAUUUGAGAUUAAAUCAAAUCAAGAUGCAGAUUAUAAUUAAGAAUAUAAUGGAUUACAAUAAGUUUAAUUUAAAUGAAUAUUAUUUUUUAAUAAUUAAAUUGAAGGUGGAUUUAAAUGUAAUUUUAUUUAGUUUAAUGAAAUGAUUUAAAAUUAAAAUAUGUACAUAUUGCCCGUCGCUUUCAUAUAUUUAAAUUGGGAUAAGUCGUAACAAAGUAGAGGUACUGGAAAGUGUUUCUAGAAAGUU